GGAGGGACCCUGCGUGUAGACCCCGGCCGUGCUCCUUCUCACCGGGUGACCGCAGAGGGCGGGGUUCUCGGCACUGCUGACCUUUGGGGCUGGGUGGUUCUCUGUCACGGGGAGGGGGCUGUUCUGGGCCUCAGAGGAUGUUUCUGGCAACAUCCCUGGCCGCCCCCACCCACCAGAUGCCAUUAGCAGCAGCCCCAGUUGUGGUGAUCACUGAUGUCUUCCGAAAUGGGCCCGUGUCCCCUGGGGGCGGGGGCACGAUUUCCCCCCGUUGGGAAUCACCGGUAAACAGCAAGCCUCUCAGACCCUCUGAGCCUCAGUUUCUUCCCAGAGGCCCUGCUUCUGCAGCGCAGUGAGAGCGUGGCUGCUGCCCACGAGGGCUCAGGGACCAGCAAGGACUCGCCCAGGGGCAUUCAGCCAGCGCCCGGCUGAGCUGGGGGGUGCGAGCCGUGUCCUGCUUCUUGGAAUGCUCAAGGGCUUCUGCUCUGCCUCCGUCAGCCGGGGGAGCUUUCCGCCCCUCCGUCUCCCCUGCUCUCUCUCAGCACCGCCGCUCUCUUGCCGGGACUUCACCGACUGUCUCCCGCUGGGAUGGGGACCCUGUGAGUCGCCCCUCCUGGCUUCCGCCGUCCUGGCAAAGAAUGAUAGAAUGGCUCCCCUGCACGGUUGCCGAGGCAGAGCCGCCGACUGCCCCACAUCAUCUACUUUCCCCAUCUUCUCCAGGAACGAGGACCCCGAUUUUUAGCUCCUGGCCACAUGGAUGUGUGACUGAGUGCUGGCCAAUGACAUGUAAGUGGAAGUCUUGUGUGUGGCCUUCCAGGAAGUUUCCUCACAGAGAGGAAACAAGUCCUUCCUCGCGCCUUUCUCUUUCUUGAUGGCUGGAAUGAGGACGUGAGGGCUGGAGCACAAGCAGCCACCUUGGUCUGUGAAGUAGAAGCUCUGUGUCGAGGAUGGAGGGGCAACGAAGUCGAAGGGACCUGGGCGCUGGUGACUUCUGGUUUGAUUUCUCCGUUCCACAUGCCACACUGAAUCCUAACCGAUGUUCUAGGCUUCGGGGAGUGGCCAGGACCGAGGAGGAAGCAAAUGUUGUUUCUUUCUGUUCCGGCUGCUCCCACAUCAAUGGGUGGCAUGGGGCCUGGCAGUCAGAAAGAGUUCCCGCCUACACUGUCAAGUCAGGUCCCCCGAGCUCCCAAGGUCAGAGGGGAAUCUGAGGUCCCGGGAAAGAGGCAAAGGGCUGAGGAGCAGAGGCAGGACACAGGAGUGAGAAAUGGGCCGGGCUUCCAGCCUUGAGAUGCCCACUCGAGAGCCAAUGUUUCUUCCUUGUCAUUACCGCUUCUCUGACUUCCACUCAAGUACUCCAUUCAUUCACUCGUGCAUUCAUGCAAUGAAUGCCACGCUAAGCCUGCCGGAGGCCGGGGCCUGGAGCCUGGAUGAUAAGGAUUACAGCUUCUGGAAUCCUGGAGCGAAGCCAGCUAGUCGGGGGAGACAGAACACG
rnacentral:lncRNA from 1 species